rnacentral:rRNA from 1 species
GGGGAAUAUUGCACAAUGGGGGAAACCCUGAUGCAGCGACGCCGCGUGAGUGAAGAAGUAUCUCGGUAUGUAAAGCUCUAUCAGCAGGGAAGAAAAUGACGGUACCUGACUAAGAAGCCCCGGCUAACUACGUGCCAGCAGCCGCGGUAAUACGUAGGGGGCAAGCGUUAUCCGGAAUUACUGGGUGUAAAGGGAGCGCAGGCGGGAAGACAAGUUGGAAGUGAAAUCCAUGGGCUCAACCCAUGAACUGCUUUCAAAACUGUUUUUCUUGAGUAGUGCAGAGGUAGGCGGAAUUCCCGGUGUAGCGGUGGAAUGCGUAGAUAUCGGGAGGAACACCAGUGGCGAAGGCGGCCUACUGGGCACCAACUGACGCUGAGGCUCGAAAGUGUGGGUAGCAAACAGGAUUAGAUACCCUGGUAGUCCACACUGUAAACGAUGAUUACUAGGUGUUGGAGGAUUGACCCCUUCAGUGCCGCAGUUAACACAAUAAGUAAUCCACCUGGGGAGUACGACCGCAAGGUUGAAACUCAAAGGAAUUGACGGGGGCCCGCACAAGCAGUGGAGUAUGUGGUUUAAUUCGACGCAACGCGAAGAACCUUACCAAGUCUUGACAUCCUGCGACGGUGCUGGAAACAGUACUUUCCUUCGGGACGCAGAGACAGGUGGUGCAUGGUUGUCGUCAGCUCGUGUCGUGAGAUGUUGGGUUAAGUCCCGCAACGAGCGCAACCCUUAUGGUCAGUUACUACGCAAGAGGACUCUGGCCAGACUGCCGUUGACAAAACGGAGGAAGGUGGGGAUGACGUCAAAUCAUCAUGCCCUUUAUGACUUGGGCUACACACGUACUACAAUGGCGUUAAACAAAGAGAAGCAAGACCGCGAGGUGGAGCAAAACUCAGAAACAACGUCCCAGUUCGGACUGCAGGCUGCAACUCGCCUGCACGAAGUCGGAAUUGCUAGUAAUCGCAGAUCAGCAUGCUGCGGUGAAUACGUUCCCG